rnacentral:lncRNA from 1 species
GCAGUGAAAUUCAAAAGGAAAAAGGGCGUGGAGUGAAGAUCAAAAAAGGCCCAACAGUGUACCAGAAGAUAAAUGCAGUAUGACUGAAAGAAACAAAAGCAGAUAAGUAUCCAAUGAGAAAAUGCAGAACUGAACUACCCAUUUGUACCCUGAUGACCAGAACUAUUUAGACAACCGGAAAAGGGCAGAAGGUAGAACCAUAGAGAAAGUAAAUAAACGAUAAAGGAAGCACUGUGAGUUGUAGUUCAGUAGAAAGAAGAAACCAGUACGCUUGAAGAGUAAUAAGAGAACCAAUUCAAAAAGAUUAGUGUUGACAUGCAUUGAAGGUCUUCUGACCGAUGAAUAAGUAGCAGAGGAUGAGGUCGAAGAAGACCGAACAACC